rnacentral:rRNA from 1 species
AGAGUUUGAUCCUGGCUCAGGACGAACGCUGGCGGCGUGCUUAACACAUGCAAGUCGAACGGUGAAGCCUUCGGGUGGAUCAGUGGCGAACGGGUGAGUAACACGUGGGCAAUCUGCCCUGCACUCUGGGACAAGCCCUGGAAACGGGGUCUAAUACCGGAUAAUACCUUCUCCCGCAUGGGAGUGGGUUGAAAGCUCCGGCGGUGCAGGAUGAGCCCGCGGCCUAUCAGCUUGUUGGUGGGGUAAUGGCCUACCAAGGCGACGACGGGUAGCCGGCCUGAGAGGGCGACCGGCCACACUGGGACUGAGACACGGCCCAGACUCCUACGGGAGGCAGCAGUGGGGAAUAUUGCACAAUGGGCGAAAGCCUGAUGCAGCGACGCCGCGUGAGGGAUGACGGCCUUCGGGUUGUAAACCUCUUUCAGCAGGGAAGAAGCGCAAGUGACGGUACCUGCAGAAGAAGCACCGGCUAACUACGUGCCAGCAGCCGCGGUAAUACGUAGGGUGCGAGCGUUGUCCGGAAUUAUUGGGCGUAAAGAGCUCGUAGGCGGUCUGUCGCGUCGGAUGUGAAAGCCCGGGGCUUAACCCCGGGUCUGCAUUCGAUACGGGCAGACUAGAGUGUGGUAGGGGAGAUCGGAAUUCCUGGUGUAGCGGUGAAAUGCGCAGAUAUCAGGAGGAACACCGGUGGCGAAGGCGGAUCUCUGGGCCAUUACUGACGCUGAGGAGCGAAAGCGUGGGGAGCGAACAGGAUUAGAUACCCUGGUAGUCCACGCCGUAAACGUUGGGAACUAGGUGUUGGCGACAUUCCACGUCGUCGGUGCCGCAGCUAACGCAUUAAGUCCCCGCCUGGGGAGUACGGCCGCAAGGCUAAAACUCAAAGGAAUUGACGG